UGGGGAAUAUUGGACAAUGGGCGCAAGCCUGAUCCAGCCAUGCCGCGUGAGUGACGAAGGCCUUAGGGUUGUAAAGCUCUUUUGGCGGGGAAGAUAAUGACGGUACCCGCAGAAUAAGCUCCGGCUAACUUCGUGCCAGCAGCCGCGGUAAUACGAAGGGAGCUAGCGUUGUUCGGAAUCACUGGGCGUAAAGCGCACGUAGGUGGGCAGUUAAGUCAGGGGUGAAAGCCCGAGGCUCAACCUCGGAAUUGCCUCUGAUACUGGCUGUCUAGAGUUCGAGAGAGGUGAGUGGAAUUCCUAGUGUAGAGGUGAAAUUCGUAGAUAUUAGGAAGAACACCGGUGGCGAAGGCGGCUCACUGGCUCGAUACUGACACUGAGGUGCGAAAGCGUGGGGAGCAAACAGGAUUAGAUACCCGAGUAGUCCCUGAGCGGGCUGGCAAGGCGCAU
rnacentral:rRNA from 1 species